CACGAUAGGUAAACUGCCGUGCUAAGGAAAAACGCCGUAUGAGCCUUCAGGCGUUGCCAAAUUUCCUUAGGCAAAUCAUUAAUUUUCAGGAAAAUUUUUGAAUAUUUUUCUGCCAAUUUCUCAGAUAAUUUUGUUUGUAAUUUGAUCUAAAGUGUCUGAAAAUUUCAAGAAAAAACAUUCACAAUUUUCCUCAAAAAUAUACAUUUUAUCGUAGGAAAUUUGGCAACUCUCGAAUGUUCAUAAGGCGUUCUUCCUUAGCACGGCGGUAAAGUUGUGUGGCGUUUUUUCCAAGGUGAUGCGCGGCACCCGAUCCGAUAACCCGUGAAUUGUCUUUAAAUGGUCAACGCUCCUCCCGCCAUGCCCUCGGUUUUCAAGGGUGCCCCCCCCCCCUUCGGCUCGAUCCAAAAAAAAUUACCUCUGCCAUUGGAAAAAGUUCAAAUUCAAAACACGCUCAUUACGCUAACCUUCCCCUGCCUCGUUCUCCUCAGCGCAUACCCACGCGUCUUCACUUGCCGCAAUUAAUGCCGCUUGCAAUUAGCUAAUCUCGUUCGCACGUAUUUAAUGGCCGUGAGACUUUAUACAGUUAGCCGAUACGGGUUUAAUGGUCGAGCAGAAACAUGGCAAACUGGAAACUGGGAAAUCUGAGGGAAUUUUCCAAGACCCGGGAAUAUCUGUGGAAAUCAAAGAGCCUCAAUUGUAAAGGAAAAAAAACACUGGAAAAAAAAGUCGCUUGGAACUAGAGUCCAGACUCUUGAAAACAUUGACAAGAAAAAAUACUCUUAAUUCAAUCGGAUUUUAGCUUGAAUUAAAAGGAAAUCCGCUUAAAUUAAGAGGCUUGGUUCUUGAUUUAAGCAAAAAUCCGAUUUGAAUCAAGAGUAUUUUAUCUUGUCAAUGUUUUUAAGAGUCUGGACUCUAGUUCCAAGCUACUUUUUUUUCCAGUGAAGCUGUCAACUAUCGGAAAAUGUUUGACUUUCUUCACGGCUCAAACCGCAGCACAAUUUAGGAGUGCGGAGAGUUCCUGAGGGCCUUU
rnacentral:lncRNA from 1 species